GAUGAAGAACGGAGCGAAAUGCGAUAAGUAAUGUGAAUUGCAGAAUUCAGUGAAUCAUCGAAUCUUUGAACGCACAUUGCGCCCCCUGGUAUUCCGGGGGGCAUGCCUGUUCGAGCGUCAUUUCACCACUCAAGCCUCGCUUGGUAUUGGGCAACGCGGUCCGCCGCGUGCCUCAAAUCGACCGGCUGGGUCUUCUGUCCCCUAAGCGUUGUGGAAACUAUUCGCUAAAGGGUGUUCGGGAGGCUACGCCGUAAAACAACCCCAUUUCUAAGGUUGACCUCGGAUCAGGCAGGGAUACCCGCUGAACUUAAGCAUAUCAAUAAGCGGAGGA
rnacentral:misc_RNA from 1 species